UACGAAGGGGGCUAGCGUUGUUCGGAAUUACUGGGCGUAAAGCGCGCGCAGGCGGUUCUACAAGUCUUCCGUUAAAUCCACCUGCUUAACAGAUGGGCUGCGGAAGAUACUAUAGAGCUAGGAGGCGGGAGAGGCAAGCGGUACUCGAUGGGUAGGGGUAAAAUCCGUUGAUCCAUUGAAGACCACCAGUGGCGAAGGCGGCUUGCCAGAACGCGCUCGACGGUGAGGGAUGAAAGCUGGGGGAGCAAACCGGG
rnacentral:rRNA from 1 species